AGUGAACGCUGGCGGCAGGCCUAACACAUGCAAGUCGAACGGCAGCACAGAGGAGCUUGCUCCUUGGGUGGCGAGUGGCGGACGGGUGAGGAAUGCAUCGGAAUCUGCCCAAUCGUGGGGGAUAACCUCGGGAAACCGGGACUAAUACCGCAAACGACCUUCGGGUGAAAGCAGGGGAUCGCAAGACCUUGCGCGAUUGGAUGAGCCGAUGCCGGAUUAGCUAGUUGGCGGGGUAAAGGCCCACCAAGGCGACGAUCCGUAGCUGGUCCGAGAGGAUGAUCAGCCACACUGGAACUGAGACACGGUCCAGACUCCUACGGGAGGCAGCAGUGGGGAAUAUUGGACAAUGGGCGCAAGCCUGAUCCAGCCAUGCCGCGUGGGUGAAGAAGGCCUUCGGGUUGUAAAGCCCUUUUGUUGGGAAAGAAAAGCGGCCGGUUAAUACCCGGUUGUUCUGACGGUACCCAAAGAAUAAGCACCGGCUAACUUCGUGCCAGCCGCCGCCGUAAAAC
rnacentral:rRNA from 1 species